rnacentral:rRNA from 1 species
UGGGGGAUAUUGCACAAUGGGCGAAAGCCUGAUGCAGCGACGCCGCGUGGGGGAUGAAGGCUUUCGGGUUGUAAACCUCUUUCGCUAUCGAACAAGGCCCGCUUAGGGUGGGUUGAGGGUAGGUGGAGAAGAAGCGCCGGCUAACUACGUACCAGCAGCCGCGGUAAUACGUAGGGCGCGAGCGUUGUCCGGAAUUAUUGGGGGUAAAGGGCUUGUAGGCGGCUUGUUGCGCCUGCUGUGAAAACGCGGGGCUUAACUUCGCGCGUGCAGUGGGUACGGGCAGGCUUGAGUGUGGUAGGGGUGACUGGAAUUCCAGGUGUAGCGGUGGAAUGCGCAGAUAUCUGGAGGAACACCGAUGGCGAAGGCAGGUCACUGGGCCAUUACUGACGCUGAGGAGCGAAAGCAUGGGUAGCGAACAGG